UUAAGUUCAGCGGGUAUUCCUACCUGAUCCGAGGUCAACAUUUCAGAAGUUGGGUGUUUAACGGCUGUGGACGCGCCGCGCUCCCGAUGCGAGUGUGCAAACUACUGCGCAGGAGAGGCUGCGGCGAGACCGCCACUGUAUUUCGGAGACGGCCCCCCGUGAAGGAAGGCCGAUCCCCAACGCCGACCCCCCCGGAGGGG
rnacentral:misc_RNA from 1 species